CUGAAACUAGGAGAUGUGAGUUGGAGACUUUUCUUUUUUAUGAAUGAUAUGAACUCUUCACUUUCUGGGCCUUAGUGUUUGUAGUUACCAUGUACAAUGUCUUUUGGAAGAUUUUCUCAAAGGAAAAGUUCUGUGAUCAAAAGACUUCAGUAGUAGAUAGGAGACCUUCGGGGAGCAAAUCUGAUCACAUGUAUAAACUCCUGCCAAAUUGCCAAAGGAAAGGAUUUGAACAGAGGAGUCUCAGAAAGCAACUAAACCACCCGGAAUCAUAGUGGGGGUAAAAACAAUCAAGGUUAGGACUGGGCUGGAAAUGAGACCUGUUUGUGCUCAC
rnacentral:lncRNA from 1 species